rnacentral:tRNA from 1 species
GCCGGGGUGGCAGAGCGGUAAUGCGCUGGCCUCGAGACGUGGCAGCCAGUGGGUCUUUGGGCCCUCAUGGGUUCAAAUCCCAUCCCCGGCGCCA